rnacentral:lncRNA from 1 species
AGCAUACAUCAUAGUGACUGAAAAUCAGAAAUCCUGAGGAGCUAGGCAUACUAUAGAGAUUCUUCUUCUGGCAGACCCAUGAAGACAUAGCUAAUUAGUAUCAUCUAUGGAAGAGGCAUGAAGGAAGAGAGAAUUUUCAUGCAUGCAAGACAGAAAGCUGGGGACAUCAUCUGUCAACCAAGGUGAACAUUCCAAAUAGAAUGUUCCCAGGAAAGUCAGUUGGAGCCUAGCCAGCAGAUAAACUGGGAGACUUCCUUGACUUCUGACCAAGGAAGAGGCUGGCUUCUUCUGACCUAGGCUGAGGCUUUGGUGUGGCUGAUGUUGGUGACUGACCAUUAUAUACUGGGCUGAUUAGAAGACAGAAGAAAAUCAAUUGUCCUUCAUAACUUCCUGACAGAUUUUUGUGUCACAGCUGUGACAGGACUGACAUUUCCCAAAAUCCUCCUAACCUUCAUUAUAGAUUAGGGAUAACCCUAUCCCUCUCACCUCAUCUUUCAUCCUAUCCUAUCUUCCCCAAUAAACCUCCUUACCUGAGAAAGAGGGAAAAAGUAUCUUUUCUAAACCUCACAGUUCACCUUUUGAGUUACAUAGAAAGAUAUUAUGGAACCAUAGUCAGGCUCACACAAAAUUUAGCAUCUUCCAUUUUAAAGGAAUGAAGGACUGGAAUAUGAGAUUCUGGAAGGCAAAGGAGCUAAUAUUACAAUCAAGAAAAACCUACCCCACAAACUGAGUAUUUGAUGAAGUUGAUGAUUUUCAAAUAUUCCUGAUUUAAAGACCAGAAAUGAAUAGAAAACGAUGUUCAAACACAAAGCACAAGAGAAGCAUAAAAAGGCUAAACAUCUCCAGGGACUUAGAUGACUUCAGAGAUACUUCAAUUCUAGAAUUCCAAGAUUCAACAAUUAUUGUCAAUGUCCCCUAUCCAUUAAUGCUGAAAAGAAUAUUUUAUUUCAUAAAUAUUUUCAACAGACAUUGAACCCAAAAAAGCAACCUUUAAUGAAAUAGAAAAUUCAAUUAAUUAAAGUACAGGAUUCAAAGAAAAUUCUAGUCAUAUUUUCAAUGGACAUACUUCCAUAUAAGACAAUUCUUGAAGUCUAUUUGAAU